UACGGGGGGAGCAAGCGUUGUUCGGAUUUACUGGGCGUAAAGGGCGCGUAGGCGGCCAGCACAAGUCAGUUGUGAAAUCUCCGAGCUUAACUCGGAAAGGUCAACUGAUACUGUGCGGCUAGAGUGCGGAAGGGGCAACUGGAAUUCUUGGUGUAGCGGUGAAAUGCGUAGAUAUCAAGAGGAACACCUGCGGCGAAGGCGGGUGCUGGGCCGACACUGACGCUGAUGCGCGAAAGCCAGGGGAGCGAACGGG
rnacentral:rRNA from 1 species